rnacentral:rRNA from 1 species
AGAGGCCUGCGGGCUAUCAGCUAGUUGGUGAGGUAAUGGCUCACCAAGGCGAUGACGGCUAGGGGGCGUGAGAGCGCGUUCCCCAACGUAAGGGACUGAGACACGGCCCUAACUCCUACGGGAGGCAGCAGUCGAGAAUAUUUCGCAAUGGGGGAAACCCUGACGAAGCGACGCCGCGUGGAGGAAGAAGGUCUUCGGAUCGUAAACUCCUUUUAGCAGGGAAGAAGUCCCGCUUAGCGGGAUUGACGGUACCUGCAGAAUAAGAGCCUGCUAACUACGUGCCAGCAGCAGCGGUAAUACGUAGGGCUCAAGUGUUGUCCGGAUUUAUUGGGCGUAAAGAGUUCAAAGGGGGCUAUGUUAGUCCGGCGUUAAAGCUCGGAACUCAAUUCCGAAAAUGCGCUGGAUACGGCUAGCUAGAGGAAGUCAGAGGCAAAUGGAACGGCCGGUGUAGGGGGGAAAUCCGUUGAUAUCGGCCGGAACACCAAAGGCGAAGGCAUUUUGCUGGGACUCUCCUGACCCUGAACGAACGAAAGCGUGGGUCGCGAAUGGGAUUAGAUACCCCAGUAGUCCACGCCCUAAACGAUGAGUGCUCGCUGUGUGAAGUAUCGACCCUUCACGUGGCUUAGCUAACGCGUUAAGCACUCCGCCUGGGAAGUACGAGCGCAAGCUUAAAACUCAAAGGAAUAGACGGGGACUCGCACAAGCGGUGGAGCAUGUGGUUCAAUUCGACUACAACCGAAAAACCUUACCAGGGCUUGACACUCUAACAAAAACUCGCAGAAACGCGAGUGUGCUCACAAGGCGGUUAGAGCAGGUACUGCAUGGUUGUCUUCAGCUCGUACCUUGAGGUGUUCCGUUAAGUCGGGAAACGAGCGCAACCCCUGUUGCCAGUUACAAGUGUCUGGCGAAACUGCCGGCGUCAGCCGGAGGAAGGAGGGGAUAACGUCAAAUCAGCAUGGUCCUUUGAUGCCCUGGGCCACACACGUGCUACAAUGGAAAGUACAAAGGGUCGCCAACCCGCAAGGGGGAGCCAAUCCCAUCAAAACUUUCCUCAGUUCAGAUUGAGGGCUGCAACUCGCCCUCAUGAAGUAGGAAUCGCUAGUAAUCGCGGAUCAGCAUGCCGCGGUGAAUACGUUCUCGAGUCUUGUACUCGGGUCGCCGUGCGAUUCUGUAAAUUAGUCCGUUAAAAUCGGGCAGAAAAACGUACAAUUUUUCUAA